UGGCAGCUCCAGCUGUGAGAACUGAAUUCCAUGGGCUGGUCACGCAGUUUUCUUCCUCAGUCCAUAGUAGUCAGUUCUUCCGUUUGGCUGCUUGAU
rnacentral:pre_miRNA from 1 species